UACGGGGGGAGCAAGCGUUGUUCGGAUUUACUGGGCGUAAAGGGCGCGUAGGCGGUCGUGACAAGUCACUUGUGAAAUCUCCGGGCUUAACUCGGAACGGUCAAGUGAUACUGUCGGACUAGAGUACAGAAGGGGCAACUGGAAUUCUCGGUGUAGCGGUGAAAUGCGUAGAUAUCGAGAGGAACACCUGCGGCGAAGGCGGGUUGCUGGGCUGAUACUGACGCUGAGGCGCGAAAGCCAGGGGAGGCGAAACGGGG
rnacentral:rRNA from 1 species